rnacentral:antisense_RNA from 1 species
GAGCCAUGGGACUGGAAGGCAGCAGGCAGAUGUCAGGGUCAGGCAUUGCUGGCUCAGAAGCAGGAAAUCUCAUGUAGAAGCCCAGAACUUUCAAGAGAUAAGAAGUAGGGAGAUUCUGGUUUAAAGAGAGAUGACGGAAGCCCCGAAUGUCCUGUCUUCUGCUCCCCCAGAUACCUUCAUGGACUACAGAGCUGUACAUACGGGUCAUGGAAUACAUGAACUUCAGGCUUAAUCUCUGUGUGAGAAAAACAGCAUGAAGAUAAUCAACUCUAUGUCAGAAGAAAUUGGCAACACUACUAACCACGAGUAAUGCACACCGAAGAACUCACCUUCUUAUGGAGUCACCUUCAUCCCUUUGCUCAGCAAACAUGUCUCUCCUAUAAGCCAAUUCAAUGAGGAAUUUUCCCCUUUAUUGUUGACACAGUAUCUCUUUAAGACGGUGAAGGACAUGAUUGCUUCCUCUUCUUCUGUGAUUAAGUUUCAUGAGGACUUCCCAGCCCUUCAGAACUUGGCAGCUAUGCACAUGAGCACAGCCUCCGAAAGCAUGCUGUCAGAUGCUGGCUGUGAAACUCUGGCCCUUGGUGAUUGAUAAGGCUGGCACCAAAAGGAGCGUCCACCACUGGGUGGAUUCCAUUAUUGUUCCUAUGCUACAGGUGAAGAAGGUGAAGCUCAGAGAGGUCAAGUAGUGGUCGAUCUUUGUAAGGUGCCUCAGCUUUUUCAUGGAGAGAGGUUAGGAAGGAAGGCAUUGCAGUUACUUGUUAAUAUUCCUCAGAAUGUUAACUUACUAUGAAGAUCUACUCCCUAUAGCUGAAGUUCCACUGAGAUGUGCUUAUAUUACCUGAGUGAAUGCUUAUAUUAUCUGGAAUAAGAACUGUUUCAUACCUAUAAGGUUCUUUAAUCUACUCUUGGCAGGUCUAAAUUAAACAAAGUCUAUUAGUUUUCUUCAG